UACAGAGGUCUCAAGCGUUGUUCGGAUUCAUUGGGCGUAAAGGGCUCGUAGGCGGCCAACUAAGUCAGACGUGAAAUCCCUCAGCUUAACUGGGGAACUGCGUCUGAUACUGGAUGGCUUGGAUUUGGGAGAGGGAUGCGGAAUUCCAGGUGUAGCGGUGAAAUGCGUAGAUAUCUGGAGGAACACCGGUGGCGAAGGCGGCAUCCUGGACCAAUAUUGACGCUGAGGAGCGAAAGCCAGGGGAGCAAACGGG
rnacentral:rRNA from 1 species